GAGUUUGAUCCUGGCUCAGGAAUAACGCUGGCGGCGUGCAUAACACAUGCAAGUCGAACGAUGAAACUUAGUAGACUUCUUCGGAAAGACACUAAGCGGAUUAGUGGCGAACGGGUGAGUAACGCGUGAGUAACCUGCCUUACACAAGGGGAUAGCCUUUGGAAACGAAGAAUAAUACCCUAUAAAACCAUAAAAGCACAUGCUAGAAUGGUCAAAGUGAUAGCGGUGUAAGAUGGACUUGCGUCUGAUUAGCUAGUUGGUGAGAUAAAAGCUCACCAAGGCAACGAUCAGUAGCCGGCUUGAGAGAGUGUACGGCCACAUUGGGACUGAGACACGGCCCAGACUCCUACGGGAGGCAGCAGUGGGGAAUUUUGCACAAUGGGGGAAACCCUGAUGCAGCGACGCCGCGUGAUUUAGAAGGCCUUCGGGUUGUAAAAAUCUUUUGUAUAGGAAGAAAAUGACAGUACUAUACGAAUAAGGUCCGGCUAAUUACGUGCCAGCAGCCGCGGUAAUACGUAAGGACCGAGCGUUGUCCGGAAUCAUUGGGCGUAAAGGGUACGUAGGCGGCUAGAAAAGUUAGAAGUCAAAGGCUAUAGCUCAACUAUAGUAAGCUUCUAAAACUAUUUAGCUUGAGAAAUGGAAGGGAAAGUGGAAUUCCUAGUGUAGCGGUGGAAUGCGCAGAUAUUAGGAAGAAUACCGGUGGCGAAGGCGACUUUCUGGCCAUUAUCUGACGCUGAGGUACGAAAGCGUGGGUAGCAAACAGGAUUAGAUACCCUGGUAGUCCACGCCGUAAACGAUGAGUGUUAGGUGUCUGGAGUCAAAUCUGGGUGCCGCAGCAAACGCAUUAAACACUCCGCCUGGGGAGUACGCACGCAAGUGUGAAACUCAAAGGAAUUGACGGGGACCCGCACAAGCAGCGGAGCAUGUGGUUUAAUUCGACGCAACGCGAAGAACCUUACCAAGUCUUGACAUAUUACA
rnacentral:rRNA from 1 species